AUACGGAGGGUGCAAGCGUUAUCCGGAUUUAUUGGGUUUAAAGGGUGCGCAGGCGGACCUGUCAGUCAGUGGUGAAAUCCCGGGGCUCAACCCCGGAACUGCCAUUGAUACUACAGGUCUUGAAUACGGUUGAAGUAGGCGGAAUGUAGCAUGUAGCGGUGAAAUGCAUAGAUAUGCUACAGAACACCGAUCGCGAAGGCAGCUUACUAAGCCGAUAUUGACGCUCAGGCACGAAAGCGUGGGUAGCGAACAGGAUUAGAUACCCCGGUAGUCC
rnacentral:rRNA from 1 species